rnacentral:lncRNA from 1 species
CCACAAAAGUUCUUGCUUGUAUUUGUGUUGAGUCUAAGUUUGGAGCAACAAUUACCUUUAAACUGAAUUAAUUAUCCUUUGAUUUAUUUUGAUGAAGUUCAGCCCAUAGUGAUAAAAUAACUGAUCGAUUUUUCAGUGCAGGGAGGAAAAAAUCGUUUGAGCUGAAGCGCACAAUACUUGAAGUCGGUGAACAUGCUGGGGCUUAAAUGAAUGCAUAAUUAUCUUUCUUCAGUUAGGGCUCCUUCAAAUGAGCAUAUGGCUGCCUCUUUGACACACACACACACACACACACACUCACAGCCACCGCUGACGAGAGCUGUUGCGAUGGAGACAAAAGAUGCCAGCUUGUUGCUGAGGAGAAGCGCGAAGCAGACGAAACAACAGGGUGAUUUGCCCCAUCAGCACCAUCUCUUCUCAUGUCACAAUCCAUCUGUCACUUUAUAAUCAUGUUAAUUACAGUAGAAAUAUGUAGCAAGCUAGAAAACACACACUCAUGUUUGUGCUCAUAGGUUCUUUCAGUUUGUGAGGGUCAAAACCAAAAUACCCUGAAAAGUUUUCCUUGAGCAAAGAGAAACUUCUGCUAGACUGUAAAGACAUUUGCUGAUUCAGUCAGACUCAGUGGUGUUGCUGUCCUCGGGUUACUUUUGUAAAUCUACUAUACUUUUGAAUAUUUCAAAUCACUGGCUGAAAAAACAAACAAAAAAAUAACUGCAACAUUGCAUCAUCUGUGUCUAUGUUGUGCUGUAAAAUAAAAUAUUCGAUGGAUAGAUGUUCUACAGAAUGAUUGUAAACAGAACUGUGUGUGUCCUUGGAGGACAUCGGUGGAGCUUUUGAAGGAAGAUGCAGCUGUCUGUGAAUACUGAAAUAUCUUCGUGCAUUAUGUGUGCACACUAAAAUAGAAGUUUUCUUAUACCUCUUUACUUUUUUACUUUUAAACAGAACCUGACACAUGGAGACCUGAUCUAUGAUUCGAUCUAUGAGCUGCUUUAUUUAAUUUAUUCACAUCCUAACAGCCUUACUUUCACAACAGUGCUAUGGCAUUUAAACAGUCAAAGUGGAUUAACAGUAUCGUUGCAGUUAUAUUUUAAGACUGAGUAUUAGGGCCACAUUAAGAAAAAAAAAAACUAAGACUGAGAUUAAAGUCAUUAAUUUACGAAAAUAAAGUCAUUAUGAGAAUAAAGUCAUAAUAAAGUCAUUACUAACAAGUAUAAAGUCAUAAUAAAGAAAUUACCAAUGAGAAUAAAGUCGUACUAAAGUAAUUACUAACGAAAAUAAGUCUUAAUAAAGUCAUUACUUGGGAGAGGAAGUCGUUAUAAAGUCAUUACUAACAAGAAUAAAGUCAUGAUAAAGUAAUUACGAGAAUAAAGUUGUAAUAAAGUAAUUUCCUACAAGAAUAAAGUCUAAAUAAAGUCAUUUCUAACGGGAUGAAGUCAGAAUAAAGUCCCAAUAUUCUAACCUGUUGUUUAAGAUGACAGUUGUUGAAAUGAGAGCCAUGGAGCAUUUUGUGAAUGUGUACUUAAAUAAAGGUUUCUCAAACAAGGAGAUACUUGGUCUUUUGGCACAUCAGCACCACAUUACCAUAAGUAUCAUAAUGGUUUUAUUAAGACUUUAUUCUCAUUAGUAAUUACUUUAUUCUCAUAAAUUCACAACUUUAAUCUCAAAGUUGUUGUGGCCCUAAUACUCUGUCGUAAUAUUUUCAAGUGUAUGAGGUUUUGUCAGUAUUAAAGCUCCAGUGAGGAACUUUUGGUUAAUGUGAAAAGUGUAAAAACUACAGGGCUGUUUUCAGGCAUCAAAAAUUACAGUUUAAAAAUCAUCAUGUCACUGAUGGUCUUGUUUGCUUUCGGAUAUGAUGAGAAGUCAUUAGUAAGAUAUAUAUAUAUAAAAAAAAAACUCCCCCGCAGAACAUGCAAAUCGUUUCCCUAUUAAAAUAAUGGAAAAAGGGAUCAUGCCAUGAUCCUUUCAACUAAGGGUUUAGGGGAUUUUACCUGAGAUGGCCAGCAUUAUCAAGAGAUGAUUUAGGCCAAAAAAUAAUUUUUAUCAUAAAAUGACUUAAGCAAUUAUAUUAAUAGGAUGACGAAAUGGAGAAAACAGCCUAAAGUCUGUACACCUGCACCACCAGGUAACUUAACUCUCCAGAUGGCAGUGUGUGAAAUACAAUCACAGCACUAACCGUCCAAGUCUAAAGGGUUGGAAUAUAAAACUGUAAACAAAUCUAUGCUAAUAAAUGUGACUGAAUACUUACAUUUCUAAGAGGCAUAAUAACACACGUUUUCUGUGGUUUCUUUCAUGUCCGAGCUGCUGUAGAUGUAUCCUGAAUGCUGUGCUGUCUCAGCGUCUUUUUCUCAUGCUUCUUGUGUUGUAAUGACAGUGAAUGAGAGUGUUUUUGUGUUUCCGCUGCCUAGCUUAACCUUUAAAUCCUUACGUCAUGUUAAAUGAUGAAUGUUCUUGCUGUCGCUAUUUUCCUCGCCAUUUUCCUGUACAGUUGAGUAUUUUGAUCAGGGUAUCUUGAAAUGAAUUUUAAAUAAAAAUAUGUUCAAAUCAAAUAAAG